rnacentral:rRNA from 1 species
GACAUAGGUGGCGAACGUUAUCCGGAAUUAUUGGGCGUAAAGCGCACGUCGGCGGCUUGCCAAGUCGGACGUGAAAUCCCUCAGCUCAACUGAGGACGUGCAUCCGAAACUGGCGAGCUUGAGUACUGAAGAGGAUCGCGGAAUUCCCGGUGUAGAGGUGAAAUUCGUAGAUAUCGGGAGGAACACCAGUGGCGAAGGCGGCGAUCUGGGCAGAUACUGACGCUGAGGUGCGAAAGCGUGGGGAGCAAACAGG